rnacentral:tRNA from 1 species
GCCCGGGUGGUGAAAUUGGUAGACGCAGGGGACUCAAAAUCCCCCGCCGAGAGGCGUGCCGGUUCGAUUCCGGCCUCGGGCACCA